CUGGAACUGAUUGACAGAAUGUGUUUUACAUUAUUGAACUCCCUUUCAUGCUCUGGCAUCCAUGCCCAUUCCGUGACCUUCAGGAGGAGACGUAUUAGCCAUCUGUAUGGAGUGGAUUGUGUACAUCCAGGGCUUCUGUACCCCCCACUGUUAACAGCAGAACAAUCUUUUGCUCAUCCUCCAGUUUAUUUGCUGCUGUGGCUUUUAUAUCCAGCUCACAUUGCUGUUUGAACUUCUUUCCAGAUGUAUUCAGCAUUUCCUCUGAUUCAGGAAAAAUCAAUAUGAGAUCUUAGUUUCAAAAAGUCACCUGUGGCUAGAUAGGACUGGAAGAUCCUGAGUCUAAACAAGAUCUCUAAAACUGGGCAUUCAGAACUAAAAGGCAGAUCCUCAGCUGGUGUAAACGGAGACAGGUUUUUUGAAGUCAAUGGAGCUAUGACAAUUUACACAAGCUGUUGACCGGCUCUAAAUGUUUCAUCUGAACUGAAGAGUGUCUGCACAGCAUUUCUGAAGAAGCUGUACGUAUUAUCAGAACACAAAGGUAAAAGUUUUAGGGUACAGUCCUGUGGACACAAACAAUUCUGCAUCUUCCAGAUAUUGCUACCUAACCCCUUUUUAAAUCUAUUUUUCAUUACUCUCUGUUUUAUGCAACCUUAAACACCCAUGGUCUAUACUUGGUCAAAAUGUCUCCAAAGUAUUCUUAAAAUAAAAUACAGAAUUAAAAUCAAAGUCCCCCCCCCCACAAACAGACGAGUUAGCAAGUGUUCCUUCUGCAGCUUUCUACACUGGCUUUGGAUUCCUGGAACUUGCCUCAUCCAUACUGAAAAUCCCAAUGCUAUUUCGUUCUAACAAAUUAGCAGGUUUAGAUAAACCCCAAGCAAAGCAAAUGGCAUUCAUAGCCUCUUUCAUUUGAGCUCUGGAGAGAGAAACAACUUCCAGCUAUGUCAAUUGUUAAAUUACUCACUGAGCCGGUGGGACUGCACCCUCUGU